rnacentral:piRNA from 1 species
GUUGUGAUGAUUGUUGCUUUCUUUGUGGCC